AACGAACGCUGGCGGCAUGCCUAACACAUGCAAGUCGAACGAGACCUUCGGGUCUAGUGGCGCACGGGUGCGUAACGCGUGGGAACCUGCCCUUAGGUUCGGAAUAACUCCCCGAAAGGGGUGCUAAUACCGGAUAAUGUCUUCGGACCAAAGAUUUAUCGCCUUUGGAUGGGCCCGCGUUGGAUUAGCUAGUUGGUAGGGUAAAAGCCUACCAAGGCGACGAUCCAUAGCUGGUCUGAGAGGAUGAUCAGCCACACUGGGACUGAGACACGGCCCAGACUCCUACGGGAGGCAGCAGUGGGGAAUAUUGGACAAGGGGCGCAAGCCUGAUCCAGCAAUGCCGCGUGAGUGAUGAAGGCCUUAGGGUUGUAAAGCUCUUUUACCCGGGAUGAUAAUGACAGUACCGGGAGAAUAAGCUCCGGCUAACUCCGUG
rnacentral:rRNA from 1 species